rnacentral:snRNA from 1 species
AUCAUUCUAGCAAGGGCAUUACGCAUAUCAGUGAGGAUUCGUCCGAGAUUGCGUUUUUGCUAGUUGAAAACUAUCAACAGACCGUGAGUGUCUUUCAUCAACAUUAAACGCGUGCAUCGCUGACCGAGAACAGGCUCUUGUUGGUCUUCGGAUCGGCAAGGAAUUUUUGGCAAACCUUCAC